rnacentral:rRNA from 1 species
AUGUCCUCAUUGAGCAUGUCGAGCGACAAGGCGAAGAGAAGGGUGCUGUUUGCGGAGUCCGACAAAGAGUUCGUCGACGUCCUCUUCAGCCUCCUCACCCUGCCUCUCGGCACCAUCGUCCGUCUCUUCGACAAGCAGUCUCAUGUAGGAUGCCUCGACAAAGAGCGUGGAGUGUCUCGAUGUAGAAAUGUUGUCGAGUACGCCGGGGAAUGGGAAGACAUAAAUCGCCGUGCUGUUCUUGGAGACAGUAAUGAGGAUGGGGGUUUUGUCAUCAGUGACUCCAAGUUCGUCAUAACAGAUGAUCUCCAAGUUUCUCUUGCAUCCACAAGGGUUAUGUUUUCUCUGAUGGACCAAUUUGGGAUCCCGGGAAAUGGAAACAUCGAGGCGAAAGUGCUCCAACUCAAUUCUGCCAAGAUGACUAGGUUGCUCCAGAGAGCAAUGCUGACAAAGCAGCCUUUAACUGGACUGUAUUUCAAUGUUGCUAUUGGGCCGAAUGGUACAUAUCUUUGUAAGCUUCAUGAGAAUCUGUUGGCAGAACAAUCAGCUGAGGCCACUGAUCCCAACUUCAAAGCCAUCAAGGUGAGGCUUGUGCAGACCAAGGAUAACUCAUCAGUGCUGUACGCUGAGGUUGGGCAAGAUUUCGUCGACCUUGCCUUUGGACUCCUCUGUAUUCCCGUUGGAACUAUCAUGAAGACUUUUAGUCACUUGCCCCAGAACGGAUGCAUGGGUAAUCUUUACAGGAGUGUAGCUGGAAGUGUGAAAGAAGAAUGUCAAGGCGUGCUGCUGACCCCAAAGGUAGCGCCUUUCUUUGGGUGCAGCAGCAAUGUACUGCAGGUAGAAGAAUUGGCUGGUAGACGAAUCUUUGCACGUCGUUUUUUGGAGAUGAAUCCCAGAUCCCAUGAUGAUACUAGUGUUAGAGGCUACAUCAAAGGUACCCCAAUAAACUUCAUGGUGACCAACGAUCUCCAGAUUAUGCCGUUAUCCUUGACCAACACCAUCCAGCUCCUGCACGCAUCCAACAUUCCGAAGAAUAAGCUUGUGGAGAAAGAACUCAAGCUCGACAAAACCCAGGUUCUGAAGAUCGUCAGAGCUGCAUUCGAGACACGUGAAGCGCUGAGCAGCGCGCUACUCCCUUAA